CGAGUCAUUGUAGCAAUACAAGGCAUACGGCUCAGUAACGCGUAGUCCACCUAACCUAUGGACGGGAAUAACCUCGGGAAACUGAGAAUAAUGCCCGAUAGAACAUUAUGCCUGGAAUGGUUUAUGUUCCAAAUGAUUUAUCGCCGUAGGAUGGGACUGCGGCCUAUCAGUUUGUUGGUGAGGUAAUGGCCCACCAAGACUAUUACAGGUACGGGCUCUGAGAGGAGUAGCCCGGAGAUGGGUACUGAGACACGGACCCAGGCCCUAUGGGGCGCAGCAGGCGAGAAAACUUUGCAAUGUGCGAAAGCACGACAAGGUUAAUCCGAGUGGUUUCUGCUAAAGAAACCUUUUGUCAGUCCUAGAAACACUGAUGAAUAAGGGGUGGGCAAGUUCUGGUGUCAGCCGCCGCGGUAAAACCAGCACCUCAAGUGGUCAGGAUGAUUAUUGGGCCUAAAGCAUCCGUAGCCGGCUCUGUAAGUUUUCGGUUAAAUCUGUACGCUCAACGUACAGGCUGCCGGGAAUACUGCAGAGCUAGGGAGUGGGAGAGGUAGACGGUACUCGGUAGGAAGGGGUAAAAUCCUUUGAUCUAUUGAUGACCACCUGUGGCGAAGGCGGUCUACCAGAACACGUCCGACGGUGAGGGAUGAAAGCUGGGGGAGCAAACCGGAUUAGAUACCCGGGUAGUCCCAGCUGUAAACUAUGCAAACUCAGUGAUGCAUUGGCUUGUGGCCAAUGCAGUGCUGCAGGGAAGCC
rnacentral:rRNA from 1 species